rnacentral:rRNA from 1 species
UGAGGAAUAUUGGUCAAUGGACGCAAGUCUGAACCAGCCAUGCCGCGUGCAGGAAGACGGCUCUAUGAGUUGUAAACUGCUUUUGUACGAGGGUAAACCUGUUUACGAGUAAGCAGCUGAAAGUAUCGUACGAAUAAGGAUCGGCUAACUCCGUGCCAGCAGCCGCGGUAAUACGGAGGAUCCGAGCGUUAUCCGGAUUUAUUGGGUUUAAAGGGUGCGUAGGCGGCCUAUUAAGUUAGUCGUUAAAGAGUGGGGCUUAACCCCAUAGCGGCGAUUAAUACUGGUAAGCUAGAGAAUAGAUGCAGAGGGCGGAAUGUGUAGUGUAGCGGUGAAAUGCUUAGAUAUUACACAGAACACCGAUUGCGAAGGCAGCUCUCUAAACUAUAUCUGACGCUGAGGCACGAAAGCGUGGGGAUCAAACA